UGCGCAGGCGGUUUUGUAAGACAGGCGUGAAAUCCCCGGGCUCAACCUGGGAAUGGCGUUUGUGACUGCAAGGCUAGAGUAUGGCAGAGGGGGGUAGAAUUCCACGUGUAGCAGUGAAAUGCGUAGAGAUGUGGAGGAAUACCGAUGGCGAAGGCAGCCCCCUGGGCCAAUACUGACGCUCAUGCACGAAAGCGUGGGGAGCAAACAGGAUUAGAUACCCUGGUAAUCCACGCCCUAAACGAUGUCAACUAGGUGUUGGGUGGGUAAAACCAUUUAGUACCGGAGCUAACGCGUGAAGUUGACCGCCUGGGGAGUACGGCCGCAAGGUUAAA
rnacentral:rRNA from 1 species